GCAAGUCGAACGCGAACGAGUUCUUCGGAACUUUAGUAGAGUGGCGCACGGGUGAGUAACGCGUAAGUAAUCUACCCUCGCAUCUGGGAUAACCCACCGAAAGGUGUGCUAAUACCGGAUACGUCUAAGUUAAUAUCUUUUUUUUAGAGAAAGGUGGCCUCUGAUUCAAGCUACUGUGCGGGGAGGAGCUUGCGUACCAUUAGCUAGUUGGUAGGGUAACGGCCUACCAAGACGAUGAUGCAUAGCCGACCUGAGAGGGUGAUC
rnacentral:rRNA from 1 species